rnacentral:piRNA from 1 species
CUGGAGUGAUGGGAUUCUGAGCUGU